AUACGGAGGUUGCGAGCGUUAAUCGGAAUUACUGGGCGUAAAGGGUGCGUGGGCGGCUUGAUAAGUCGGAUGUGAAAGCCCCGGGCUUAACCUGGGAAUUGCAUUCGAUACUGUCAGGCUAGAGUAUGUCAGAGGUUGGCGGAAUUCCUAGUGUAGCGGUGAAAUGCGUAGAUAUCAGGAGGAACACCAGUGGCGAAGGCGGCUAACUGGGGCAAUACUGACGCUGAGGCACGAAAGCGUGGGGAGCAAACAGGAUUAGAUACCCGUGUAGUCC
rnacentral:rRNA from 1 species